GACGAACGCUGGCGGCGUGCUUAACACAUGCAAGUCGAACGGUAAGGCCCUUCGGGGUACACGAGUGGCGAACGGGUGAGUAACACGUGGGUGAUCUGCCCUGCACUUCGGGAUAAGCCUGGGAAACUGGGUCUAAUACCGGAUAGGACCACUGCCUGCAUGGGUGGUGGUGGAAAGUUUUUGCGGUGUGGGAUGGGCCCGAGGCCUAUCAGCUUGUUGGUGGGGUGAUGGCCUACCAAGGCGACGACGGGUAGCCGGCCUGAGAGGGUGACCGGCCACACUGGGACUGAGAUGCGGCCCAGACUCCUACGGGAGGCAGCAGUGGGGAAUAUUGCACAAUGGGCGCAAGCCUGAUGCAGCGACGCCGCGUGAGGGAUGACGGCCUUCGGGUUGUAAACCUCUUUCAGCACCGACGAAGCGCAAGUGACGGUAGGUGCAGAAGAAGGACCGGCCAACUACGUGCCAGCAGCCGCCGUAA
rnacentral:rRNA from 1 species